UUAAUUGAAGAGUUUGAUCAUGGCUCAGAUUGAACGCUGGCGGCAGGCCUAACACAUGCAAGUCGAGCGGUAACAGAAAGAAAGCUUGCUUUCUUUGCUGACGAGCGGCGGACGGGUGAGUAAUGCCUGGGAAUAUACCCUGAUGUGGGGGAUAACUAUUGGAAACGAUAGCUAAUACCGCAUAAUCUCUUCGGAGCAAAGAGGGGGACCUUCGGGCCUCUCGCGUCAGGAUUAGCCCAGGUGGGAUUAGCUAGUUGGU
rnacentral:rRNA from 1 species